AGGAAUAUUGGUCAAUGGACGCAAGUCUGAACCAGCCAUGCCGCGUGAAGGAUGAAGGUCCUCUGGAUUGUAAACUUCUUUUAUCUGGGACGAAAACGGGAUUUUUAUCUCAAUUGACGGUACCAGAGGAAUAAGCACCGGCUAACUCCGUGCCAGCAGCCGCGGUAAUACGGAGGGUGCGAGCGUUAUCCGGAUUUACUGGGUUUAAAGGGUGCGUAGGUGGGCUUAUAAGUCAGUGGUGAAAUCUCCGAGCUUAACUUGGAAACUGCCGUUGAUACUAUAGGUCUUGAAUUAUCUGGAGGUAAGCGGAAUAUGUCAUGUAGCGGUGAAAUGCUUAGAUAUGACAGAGAACACCAAUUGCGAAGGCAGCUUCUACAUAUAAAUUGACGCUGAGGCACGAAAGCGUGGGGAUCAAACA
rnacentral:rRNA from 1 species